rnacentral:sRNA from 1 species
CCCCCAUCCGCAGGUCUAACUUUGGCCCCGGACUCUGCCCCUCGACCCCAGCACAGAAUCGCCCUGGGUCCUACUACAGAAUCAAUCUUUGAACACUGCCUCCACGUCGCCGGCUCAAUCUGGGCCAGAACCCAGACUUCCACCGCAGCCCCGCAAUCUGCAGACCUCAGUGGCAGCGCAGGUGGCAGACCUUCCUCCUUUGCCUGUGAGUCAUGGCAGCUCCCAUGAAUGGCCAAGUGUGUGUGGUGACUGGUGCCUCCAGGGGUAUUGGCCGUGGCAUUGCCUUGCAGCUCUGCAAAGCAGGUGCCACAGUUUACAUCACUGGCCGCCAUCUGGACACCCUUCGCGUUGUUGCUCAGGAGGUGAGUGCUUCCUCUGGGACCACAGUUGCAGAAACCACCCGAGAGAGCCCUUCCACUUAACAGCUCCCUUUCCUAAUCCCUUACCUGAAACUAUAAUACUACUCAAGAAGAUGUGACUAUUUAUUCAAAGUGGAAAUUAAAAACCCCGUAAAUAACUUCAGGUAAGGUAGAAUUUUGCCGCCAAGUGAGUUUUAUGAAAAAACUUUGUGUUUGAGCCAGGCAUGGUGGCAUGUGCCUAUAGUCCCAG